AGACAUAAUAAUUUUUUUUCACAUUGUAUAGGAAAAAGCUAUGGACAAACUAAGUGUGGAGAUGAAAAUAAUCUAAAAUAACCAUAAACGGUAUGUUAUUUAAUUUACUACAAGAGUUUUCGAUACUUUUAUUUUUUGCUAUAUGUUACUUAUGAUAGAUUUCUUGUUGUAAUGAGCUUAUGNAUAGCCAACCCUAUACUUUCGACCUAGCUCAUCCUAGUGGCUAUACCACUAUACUCAUCAACCUAGGUUCCAACACUCUAGGUUCUAUGUCCAUGUCACUUAACCUAGAUACACUUGCUAGGUUCUUGUCAUCUUUGCCUAGAUGUCCACUUCUAGGUUUACUAGUUCGACCUAGGUUUACUAACACUAGGUUCGAUGCCACACACCUAGCUUGCUCGACUCUAGAUUCACUUAUUCAACCUAGGUUCUUUAACACUAGGUUAGAUGCCACUCGAUCUACCUGACAAUCUAGUUAUCCAAUCAACUCUACUCACACUAGAGUUAUUAUCUAGUUCAUAUGCAUAUACUCCUAGAAUAUUACUUAAUGCCAAUUAUGCAUUCUUACUUGUCAUGCUCAUUAUGCUUUCUACUUAGCAUUUUCAUCUAUGCACUAAUGUUACCAUGCAUUCUUUACUUAGCCUUUACUCUAUGCAUAUUUAUUAAUGCACCAUUUGAUCUUGUCUACAUGCACAUGCAUCAACACGAGAUUACAUUGCUAAGACAUAAAGGGCGACCUAGUCGCUUCGGUAAGCACAACCCACCUUUAGUUAGCUUUCCGAUUGCUCGUCGACACUUGCAAUCGGCCUCCCGCGGCAAUCAGCAUCCGUUUGGGCCCGAUCUCACAGUUGUUCCCCCCGAGCGCGCCGCUUCGCCGUUUCAAGUGCUAGCAAUCUUCGCCUUGCUGCUACGGCGCUCGGGACCCGAUCUCACGAUUUAUGGACGUCGCCUCGGCCUUCCAGGCGAAAACGAAGCUCCGAGCGUCCGCUUCUUCGAUAUCCUCGCAACGGCUCGUCGGAUUGCCGAACCGACUUCGCCAACGUGUUUCGUUACCUACCAAUUAGGUUUACGAAGGGUCAAAUGAGAUCAAACUCAUCUAUUUACAAAAACCCCAUUUUGGGUGCCCUAGAUGCUAUUACUACCAAAUCCACCAAAUCGAUCUAUGACUUGGGGAGAAUCCAUCUAAAUAACAUGCUAGGGUACCAAAAAUACCAUUUCUAGAGAUCAAAACCCUAUAUUUAGGGAUUUACCAUGAGAGGGCUUGGGAGCUUACCUCUCAAAGAGCCCCAUGGAGAGAAGAAGAUGAAGAUGAAGAUGAGGAAGAGGAUCUCCUCCUUGGUCCUCUUCUUCUUUUCCUUUCCUCUUUUUCUUCUUCUCUUCUCUUUUCUCUUUUCUUUCUUUUCUUCUUCUCCUCCCUUGAACGAUCGGAGAGAGGGAGAGAGGCUGAGGGAGNUUGUGAUUGAUUCAUAUUGAGUUGUUAGAUUAAUAAUAAUAAUAAUCAAAUUUGUAUUGCAGAUAAUAGUAGAGACGGCAAAGGUGCAAGUGCAUUGGAGCAGCAAGGAUUUCAAACUAUUGAGACUGCCCAACCUCGCAAGCGACGUCGCUUUCGUAUGAGUUUUAUUAGUUAUAUUUAUUGCUAUCUUUGUUUUAAUCUAUUUUUUAUGUUGGUUAGACAUAAUAAUUUUUUUUCACAUUGUAUAGGAAAAAGCUAUGGACAAACUAAGUGUGGAGAUGAAAAUAAUCUAAAAUAACCAUAAACGGUAUGUUAUUUAAUUUACUACAAGAGUUUUCGAUACUUUUAUUUUUUGCUAUAUGUUACUUAUGAUAGAUUUCUUGUUGUAAUGAGCUUAUGUAUCUCAUAUGUUUUAAUUUUCUUUGUUUCAGAUUGAAGCAACAAGCAUGAUUUGAUGUUCGCAUUUGAAGAAUGUUUAGCUAGAGCUUUUCACUUUCUUUUUCUUAACUUUCGAACAUUUGGGGUUCAAAUAAAUUUCUAUUGCAUUGAUUUCUAUUAGAAUAUAAAAACUUAUUUUGUUGCAUUUUAUCACUACUCUAGAUCAUUGUUUAUUGUUGUUUCAAGAAUGAUUGUAUCAUCUUAUUGCAAUUUAGUAAUAUGAUUCUAUUUUGUUCCGGAUACUACAGAUUGUAGGUUUUACAAUUAAUAUCAAAUGAAAAAAAUAAGUUUUUAUAUUCUAAUAGAAAUCAAUACAAUAGAAAAUUUAUUUGAACCCCAAAGGUUCGNCGAUGGUUAGUAAAAGUGCUGGGAAAAGGUUAUACCAGCAAGGAUAUUGUAGCGGUCACCUGCACUUUUACCAGCAGUUUUAGAACUGCUGGAGCAAACAUUACCAGCAGUUUUCGUAUUCUUUACCGGCAGUUUUGGCUGCUGGUAUAGGCCUUUUUUUUUGUAGUGAUUACAUUUGUUAUGUCUACUAUAUGGAGCAUGAUUUCAAGUCCCAAUUAGAAUGCUAAACCCAUGCAUAAGUCUCACAUGCAAGCUCUCUACUACAUAGAGGUCCGAAAAUACAUUGUAUAUAACAUAAGCAUUUCAAGGAUUCUAAAAUUCACAAAUAAUGCAUCUUUCAUGAAAAUACGUGAUUUUNGGUUUACGAAGGGUUAAAUGAGAUCAAACUCAUCUAUUUACAAAAACCCCAUUUUGGGUGCCCUAGAUGCUAUUACUACCAAAUCCACCAAAUCGAUCUAUGACUUGGGGAGAAUCCAUCUAAAUAACAUGCUAGGGUACCAAAAAUACCAUUUCUAGAGAUCAAAACCCUAUAUUUAGGGAUUUACCAUGAGAGGGCUUGGGAGCUUACCUCUCAAAGAGCCCUAUGGAGAGAAGAAGAUGAAGAUGAAGAUGAGGAAGAGGAUCUCCUCCUUGGUCCUCUUCUUCUUUUCCUUUCCUCUUUUUCUUCUUCUCUUCUCUUUUCUCUUUUCUUUCUUUUCUUCUUCUCCUCCCUUGAACGAUCGGAGAGAGGGAGAGAGGCUGAGGGAGAGAGAGAGAGAGAGAGAGAGAGAGAGACCCCUCUAAUACCCUCUCAUAUUGUAACAAAAUCACCAAAGGUCCCUCAACUUUUCACCUCUUACACAGCCCUCACUGGGCAUUCUGCGCGCUGAGGGACUGGUCUCCCCGACCUGGGACCGGUCCCCGGGGCCUCCCCCCGCAGGCACGCGUUCGGGAACCGGUCUUUCCUUGAGGGACCGGUCCCCCGGAGACCGGUCUGCCCACCAGAGACCGGUCCCCGAGAGCUCAUCUCGCGGGACUUAGCCAAUUUUUGGCUUUUCUCGCGGGCAUCACAGGCUGAGACCGGUCCCUCUGCUGCCAGGGACCGGUUGCAUCAGCAACCCCGCAUGCCUCUGCUGAUGGGACAGGUCUCCCCAGCUAGAGACCGGUCCCCGAGAGCAAAUCUGCCAAAGAUGCAGAUUUUGCGUCUUUGCUCUCGCGGACUCCAUUCCAAUGCACUUCUUGGGUUUCGUGCAUCCUUAGCUUUUCCAAAGCUUACCAACUCGACCAUUAGUCAAUUCUGGACAAGGUGCAACUCUCGGAUUUCGAGAAUUCACAUUGUUACAUUCUACCCUCCUUAAAAAGAGUUUCGUCCUCGAAACUCACUCACUUCAAACCCAAUUCAUUCCUCGAUUCACUUUUCGAGUACUCAAGGGUUCCAAUGCACUUUCGCACUUCGGAGCGGCCUUUCUCUCAUCGGAAUCAUCCGACGGCCCACUACGAGCGAUGUGAGACCAGAUUCACUCACAACUACCACUUGUAGCAUCGAAAGUGCAUUACAAUUCUACGAACCUCAGUGGCAGUGUGAGUCGACAUUCCUGACUCACGCACCAACAACACCGGCCACUUGGCUAAAGAAGGACCUAUUCCUUCGAACAUUACAAUCCUUCGAGAUCAGGACUACCCUUCGCCUCUGUGGUGUGGAUUUAGCAAGAUCGCAUCAACUCGAUGAACGAUCCACCACCACAACUCUAUGUGCACGGGUAGACCCUCUCGGCUUACUCAAGUACUCAUCAGGUGGCACUUCACCAUUUUGGCUAUUUGGGAGCUUGAUACCACCUUAUCAUCCUAUCGAUACCAUCUCCUUCUCAACUUCUAACUUGGGGAACACACUCCGAUCCAAUUACCGACAUUGUCUAAAAGCAAUAUCGCUGGUGCAUUUCCCAAUCGCGAGUGUCCCAAAUCAAUCGAGCCUUUGCUUUAUCCCGAGAUGGCAUACUCUCACACGUCCCAGAUCUCAAUCCUUUUGAGAGCAUCAUCCUCAAUUCCUUUUCUCACGUGGCUGUCCAUUAUCCAAGUGUCUCCUAGAGACCACCUUACUCUCUCUUAAUUCCUUGACAUUGUAGGCCACAAUUAUCACCACGCGAACUCUCCGUUCGCGGAUCUAAGCCCAACUCACUUAUGGAGUUUCCGGCUACACCAGUCAUUGGUUUCCUCAGGUAGACCCAAAAGGUCACCAAUCCCACGUAGGCUAGUCGCCUAACUCGUCUCAACAACGCCUAGCGUCUCUCGCUCGCAAGCGCAGACCCAAUCAACAUUCUCGGGCGACAUUCUCGUUGGAGAACUCGCACACACUCCAAACAGGAGCAACCAAGACUCCAAACCACGUCAAGUCUACGGGCUGGGUCACCACACGCUUGGUGUGUUCUCGAUCUCAUGAUCCAACGCGCGGCAUUCCACGCACUCGGGUCUAAGCUCGGACUACCGUCCUGACCAAAACUCUCCGCCCUACCUAUAGGUAUCGGGCCGCUGUCUCUCAUAGUUGACUGCGCCUGCCCAAUGGGCCCAGGCUCCACAGUCCACAAAUGGUCCAGGCACGGGUCGUCCCCAAGCACUACCCGCCGUCGUCGUCCUACACGACAUGCUCUAUAGAGCUACCAACUCUAUCGGCUCCUAGGCACCUAGUGCGAGCCAUCAGCCCUCACGAGUGAUCCAUGGCCCGCUUCACACUUAGCCCUGCUGAAGUGCUACUGCCAAUUCACUCGACCGGCUGAAUCAAAACCGCAUUCCAUAAGUAUCUAUACUCGAGUGCUCUACGCCUCUACAGCGUCUCACACGAAGUCUAGCAUCAGGCAACUUAGCCUAUGUGCACUGGCCACACGAGUAACAACUCGUCCUCCUCAAUUUGAGGUACUACUAGGCCCACAGGCCAAGCUCGGCGCUAAUCGACCAAUUUCGCGACAGUGGUUCAUCACCCUGUUCGAUCUACCGAAUCCGCAUCCGACAUACUCUUGGAGUACUCGGGUGUCCCCAAACAUCAAGGCUCAACUCUCACAAUCUCUAAUCUAUUGCAUCGAGAGUUCUUUCACCACUCAAUUUCCAUUGCGAGCCUCGACUCCUAUCCAAAGUCACCACUAGCCAUUUGCUAGCAUCAUUGGCUCUCUACCUGCUCCAGCAGGCGCUAUACUCUCUCAUCCUGCAAGCAUGCGCGGGUACCUACCUACCCGACCACUUGGUCCCUACUAUACAAUGUAAUAAUAGUAGCAACUGACCAAUAACAAAUGCAUGCUAUGCAACAACUUAAGAUCACACGAAAGCAUACGAUUGAUCAAUUAACUCCUACCUGCCA
rnacentral:lncRNA from 1 species